ensembl:lncRNA
UUCCCGUCGUGGCUCAGCAGUUAACGAACCCAACCAGCAUCCAUGAAGAUGCAGGUUCGAUCCCUGGCCUCGCUCAGUGGGUUAAAUAUCUGGUGUUGCCCUGAGCUGUGAUGUAGGUCGCAGACACAGCUAGGAUUCAUAGUUGCUGUGGCUGUGGCAUAGGCUGGCGGCUACAGCUCCAAUUGGACCUCUAGCCUGGGAACCUCCAUACCGAGGGUGUGGACCUAAAAAGACAAAAACAACAACAAGAACAAAAAUAUUGGAUUAUUUGACUCUAUUUUAUUCUGAGUACUCCAGUUCCAUUUGUAUUUAUUUACUUAUGAAGAAUUGAGGAAACCAUAUGAGUGAAAGAAAAUUUAUAGCAUAUGUUCAUCUUUAUGGAGAAAUGUAAAAUCCAUAUUAACAUCAUCAAUAUAACUAAAAUAUUAUUUCUAUAUUUACAAAACCAACAGAAAUUGCUUAUAAAUUUUUUCCUUAACUUUUGUUUUUAAGGUAUAAAGCAGCUAUUGUUCAUCAGAUACCGAUCUCUCAGACCUUUCCCUUAGUGUUUUUGAGUUCAGUGUCUAUGAGAUUCUUAGAUGCUGGGGAAAUGAUUCCCCAGAUUUGUAUUUCAAAAGUAGUUUAGUAAUUUUGUUGAAAAUGAAAAAAAGAUUACAGUCACAUUGAAACUUUCCUUUCUUGUUCUUUUAUCUAUAGGAGUGGGAAAACUAUAUGAACAUUCUGAGUGAAAAGGAUAUUUGGUAUUUUAGUAACUGUUCAACAAAUUAUUUUAAAAGUUGAGGUAGACUGUACACUUAAAAGACAGUUAAAUCGGGAGUUUCAAUCGUGGUUCAGUAGUACGAACCCAGCUAACAUCCUUGAGGAUGCGGGUUUGAUCCCUGGCCUUGCUCAGUGAGUUAAGUAUCUAGAAUUGCCUUGAGCUGCCCUGUAGGUGGCAGAUGCAGCUCGGAUCUGGUGUUAUUGUGACUGUGGUGUAGGCUGACAGCUGCAGCUCUGAUUUGACCCUUAGCCUGGGAACCUCCAUAUGCCACAGGUGUGGUGCUAAAAAGCAAAUAUAUAAAUAAAUAAAUAAAACAAUUAAAUCUUAUAAGUAUUUUAUCACAACAGAAAAGGUUGGAAAAAGUUAAGGUAGAAUUAGACAUAUAUAUGGCUGUGCAUCUUUUAGAUACAUUAUUAAAUUUGCCACUUUACUUGUUGCAUGUAGACCGGUUGACUCUACAGAUUACCUUACCUCCAUGAUCUGCCUGCAGGAUUGCUAAGGGAGAUGCUGGGGGAAGAGAGCUAGUCAUUUUUAUACUGCUUAAUUCUUUAUUCUUGCUUCUUUUUAUCUAGGAAAAGAAUCAACAGGUUAAUUAGGUUCUUUAAAGGUUAGAGGGGAACAGAAGAAGCCAAACAGGAAAGGGGCCAGAGAGCUGCUUUCAACAUGUUAACUUAAUAGUAUUUUGGAUAUAUUGAGUUAAAUAAAAUAUAUAAAUAAAGUUAAUUUCAUCUAUUUACUUUUACUUUUUUUGACCACACCUACAGCAUGUGGAAGAUCCUGGGCCAGGGACUGAACCCAUGCCACAGCAGUGACAAUGCCAGAUCCCCAACCCACUGCACCACCAGGGAAUUCCUGUGUUUACUUUUUUAAAUGUGGCUACUAAAACAUUGAAAAUUAUACUCAUAGUGGGCGCUCUAUUUCUGAUGGGCAGUCUUGCUCUGGACAGUCUUUUUUAUAGCAGGAAGAGCUUAGUUCACUGUGUCUGCACAUCCUGGGGAAGGGCAGGAGAAGGCCGAUGUGGGCAGUUCUCCCAGAAAAGGAAAACCUCAAGCCUAAAAGUCAAGAAAUCAUUCUUAUAAUGGGACACUGAAAUAUUUGUCUCGAACUGUUUGACUCCAAAAUCUGCUCCAAAGGCAUCAUUUUAUGAGGUUUUACUUUCUAGGUUUAACCAGGAAAGCUUAAUCCUCUGACACGUCUCCCAAUAAUUUACCCAAACUAUUUGAAAAGGAAUUUUCCAAUGUGGACAAAAACAGUAUGGUAUUUUUCCUUCUUGAAUAGAAUUUUAUGAAAUUUAUGGAAAUACUUCUAUGUUACUUUUUUUUUUUUUAAUAGAGCAAAGUAACAGUAAGGCCGAAACUAUUUGUUUCAUACCCUGGCCUUUGUCCGUGUAUGCAGAAAAUGAAUACACAGACAGGAUAUUUUCAAUUACUCAUUUCCUUUGUUUACAUGUCACAUUGAGAUUCAUCGUGCUACCUCUUUCAGCCCUCUCAAGUCCCCCUCGUUUCUUCAGAACACAACUCCAAUCUCAAGCCUCAAGCCUUGUACCAAAUCCCAGAUGCUUUCUAGCAUGAAAGAGAAAUCACACGAAUAUUUACGUCCUUCCUGAUUUGCAGUUGCAAUUGGGUUUGAUUACAAAUCCCCAUCAGUUGUCCCCCAUCCUUCUGCUUCAGCUUCUCCCUCUCCUUCCUCCACGUGUGCGCACACACACACACACACACACACACACACACCCCUUCCCUCCCUUCUUCUCUUUCUCUAGUGUUUCUGAUGAGCCAAGUGUUGGAAGCUCUCAGACUUUGUGCCCUCUAUGUUUAUAACUUUAAGUGUGUAUCCAGACAGUUUGCCUUGUUCUCAAAGAAAACCAGAGCUUGGAAUUUUGGGAAGCAAAUCUGGUAGGUUUGUGAGCUUGUUGAAAAUUUUGUAAACGGAAGCUUCUGAGAAAUGUGGGGUCAACAAAUUCAAAAGAAAAAAAAAGGAGUUCCCGCCGUGGUGCAGUGGUUAACAAAUCCGACUGGGAACCAUGAGGAUGAGGGUUCACCAUUGCCAUGAGAUGUGGUGUAGGUCACAGAUGCAGCUCAGAUCUGGCAUUGCUGUGGUUGUGGUGUAGGCCAGCAGCUGUAGCUCCGAUUCGACCCCAGCCUGGGAACUUCCAUUUGCCACACAUGCGGCC